GUGAAAUAGUGGUCCCUUUUGAUGAUCAAGGGAUAGAGGGCUUAGUAUGACUUGUUAUGAAAGUAAUUACUUGAGGUGACAGCAACUCUGAUUUCGGCUCCAUGGAAGGGUGUCCUUUCCAAAAAUUCAAGUCAUUCAACUUUGGAAUGAGCUGCCUGGUUGUUGCUACUGCUGAGCCGCUCCUGCGUGACUCCUGCAGCCUUUCGAGGCCUGAGUAACCAAUUCCGGUCCUGUUAGCUCCACUGCAGAUUCGGAAAGGUGUUUCUGAUUUCCGGACUGAGCCCUGACCAGUGAGUGCAUUUUGUUCAAACCAUACAGACUCUUAGAAGACAGAAGGGAAAUACCUGACUGGGGACCCGUGAGACCGCGAUUGCUCCUACGGGUCUCAGUGAACAAGGAUUAGUAAACUUCCCAUUGGCAAAACAUUGGACUAAAUUCUAACGAAGAACAACAGAGAGCGUAAAGAUUGU
rnacentral:lncRNA from 1 species